rnacentral:rRNA from 1 species
GACGUAGGUGGCGAGCGUUGUUCGGAAUCACUGGGCAUAAAAGCGCACGUAGGCGGCCAAGUCAGUCAGGUGUGAAAUACCUCGGCUCAACCGAGGAACUGCGCCUGAUACUGCUUGGCUUGAGGUCCGGAGGGGAGAGUGGAAUUCCCGGUGGAGCGGUGAAAUGCGUAGAGAGUCGGGAAGAACGCCGGCGGCGAAAGCGACUCUCUGGUCGGAAUCUGACGCUGAGGUGCGAAAGCUAGGGGAGCAAACGGG